UACGUAGGGUGCGAGCGUUAAUCGGAAUUACUGGGCGUAAAGCGUGCGCAGGCGGUGAUGUAAGACAGAUGUGAAAUCCCCGGGCUCAACCUGGGAACUGCAUUUGUGACUGCAUCGCUGGAGUGCGGCAGAGGGGGAUGGAAUUCCGCGUGUAGCAGUGAAAUGCGUAGAGAUGUGGAGGAAUACCGAUGGCGAAGGCAGCCUCCUGGGCCAACACUGACGCUCAUGCACGAAAGCGUGGGGAGCAAACAGG
rnacentral:rRNA from 1 species